UUGGACCUGAUAUCAGGCAAGAUUAACCGCUGAACUUAAGCAUAUCAAUAAGCGGAGGAAA
rnacentral:rRNA from 1 species